rnacentral:rRNA from 1 species
AUGUCAAUUUUGGCCUCCUCCACCCUCCCACCUUGGUUCUCGCGCCCCCAAUCAUCAGCCGCCGCCGCCCUCAUCGCUUUCCGCGCCGGCCCGCUCCGCCGCCGCCACUUGGCGCUCCUCCCGCGCCUCCACCUCGCCACCGCCACGUGGCGCCACCCUAGUGGGCAGCGCCGCCGCAGUAGCCUCCCUCGCCCACUCCCCGUUCGCCACCUGUCCUCCCCGCGCCUCCCAGCCGCGCGCCCCGCCCAGGCCCGGGGCGAGCCCGCGAAGCCCAUCGGGGCCCGAGCGCUCCGCCGCCGCCUGGUCCCGAGCGUCUCCCGCUCCGAAGCCCCGCCGCCCGACCUCACCAGCGCCUCCGCCCCGCUGCCCCUCUACCUCGUCGCCUCGCCUCCGCCGGCGAGCACCGCGCCGGUGCCGUCGCCGUCCCGGUGA